rnacentral:rRNA from 1 species
GCCUACGGGGGGCAGCAGUGGGGAAUAUUGCACAAUGGGGGGAACCCUGAUGCAGCGACGCCGCGUGAGUGAAGAAGUAUUUCGGUAUGUAAAGCUCUGUCAGCAGGGAAGAAGAAAGACGGUACCUGACCAAGAAGCCCCGGCUAACUACGUGCCAGCAGCCGCGGUAAUACGUAGGGGGCAAGCGUUAUCCGGAUCUACUGGGUGUAAAGGGAGCGUAGACGGCUGCGCAAGUCAGAAGUGAAAGCCCGGGGCUCAACCGCGGGACUGCUUUUGAAACUGUGUAGCUAGAGUGCAGGAGAGGG